rnacentral:rRNA from 1 species
CUACGGGAUGCAGCAGUGAGGAAUAUUGCACAAUGGGGGGAACCCUGAUGCAGCAACGCCGCGUGGAGGAUGACGCAUUUCGGUGUGUAAACUCCUUUUAUAUGUCAAGAAAAUGACGGUAGCAUAUGAAUAAGCACCGGCUAACUCCGUGCCAGCAGCCGCGGUAAUACGGAGGGUGCAAGCGUUACUCGGAAUCACUGGGCGUAAAGGACGCGUAGGCGGGUUGGAAAGUCAGGUGUGAAAUCCUACAGCUUAACUGUAGAACUGCACUUGAAACUUCUAAUCUAGAGUAUGGGAGGGGGAGAUGGAAUUAGUGGUGUAGGGGUAAAAUCCGUAGAUAUCACUAGGAAUACCUAAAGCGAAGGCGAUCUCCUGGAACAUUACUGACGCUAAGGCGUGAAAGCGUGGGGAGCAAACAGGAUUAGAUACCCCCGUAGUC